rnacentral:rRNA from 1 species
CUACGGGUGGCAGCAGUGGGGAAUCUAGACAAUGGGGGAAACCCUGAUCUAGCCAUGCCGCGUGAGCGACGACGGCCCUAGGGUUGUAAAGCUCUUUCAGCAGGGAAGAUAAUGACGGUACCUGCAGAAGAAGUCCCGGCUAACUCCGUGCCAGCAGCCGCGGUAAUACGGAGGGGACUAGCGUUGUUCGGAAUUACUGGGCGUAAAGCGCGCGUAGGCGGAUUGUUAAGUCGGGGGUGAAAUCCCGGGGCUCAACCCCGGAACUGCCCUCGAUACUGGCAGUCUUGAGUUCGAGAGAGGUGAGUGGAAUUCCGAGUGUAGAGGUGAAAUUCGUAGAUAUUCGGAGGAACACCAGUGGCGAAGGCGGCUCACUGGCUCGAUACUGACGCUGAGGUGCGAAAGCGUGGGGAGCAAACAGGAUUAGAUACCCGCGUAGUC